GGUGGCUCAGUGGUAGAGUGCUUGCCUAGCAUGCAUGAAGCCCUGGGUUCAAAUCCUUGGCACCA
rnacentral:tRNA from 1 species